rfam:Hordeum vulgare subsp. vulgare, WGS project CAJW01000000 data, contig: morex_contig_368700
CAACUACUCCCUCCGUCCCAGAAUUCUUGUCUUAGGUUUGUCUAAAAAUGAAUGUAUCAAAAUACUAAAACGUGACUAGAUACAUUAAUUUGUAGACAAAUCUAAGACAAUUUUUUUGGGACGGAGGGAGUAUGAA